CUCAGCUUGGGGCCGCAUACUCAAAACUUCUAAAGGCGCUUUUGGCCGCAAGAUGUUUUUCCUAAGCGUUUUUCUUCCAAAAGGUGCAUACUCAAACGCUCUGUUGGGCGCCACCAUCUUUGAAAAUUGGCGGCGCUUUUCUGGUCGAAGGAGGCUUGGGGAGGCAUUUGGGAGCAGCAGUAGCAAAUGCUGCAGCAUCAGCAGCAGUGGAAGUAGUUGCGUUUCUUGACAAAUGAUUACGCAAAUUGUCUGGGCCAGGAACUGCAGAUGUAAUGGUUGUAUACUUUGCUGCCUGACAAUUGUGACAAGAAAAGAUUAUGACUCAUUAGAUAUCCCCUGCUGAAUGGUUACGAGUGCUUCCUUGAUAAAAUUCUGUCAGUACAUGAGCACAAGAGUGUAUAUUUGUUGUAUGGUUGCCUAAUGCAUGUUAGUUAGGUUAGGUUGGUCUGGAUGUAGUAAUUUAGAAUAGCCUACAUGUUUAACUGCCAGGAAAUCUGUUGGAAAAUGCAAAUUGUGUACUUUACUUCAUUGUUUAAGACAUUCAUUUUACCUAAGUGGUUUGUUAAGUUAGUUUAUCUGUGAUGUGACACAUAAGGUAGCACUAAUUUCUCCAACUUCUUUUAUCAUUACCAUUAGCUUUUGCUUUGAAUAACAGAGAUCAUUAUUGCUGUAUUGGGAGUGAUAGUAACAGGUUACAAAUGUACUGUUUCUGUUUGUUGUAUUGUUUCCAAAUUAACUAUCAUAUGUACAGCCAAGCUGUCUCAUACUUUUCAUUUUCACCCAUAUGUAUUUUCAUUACAUGUAUUAGGAUUUUUUUAUAUGCAGUUUCAUUUCCCUCACCCUGCCAUCUUUAUUAUAAUAAAGUAUUUACUCUAUAGGAAAAGAAAAUUUACAUUAUUUAUUUAUUCUUUAUUAAGUUAGGUUUGUAUACUACAAUGUUUAAGCCAUCUUUCAUACAAAAAUAUAUUAAAAUGAAA